rnacentral:rRNA from 1 species
GACGAAUGCUGGCUGCGUGCUUAACACAUGCAAGUCGAACGGUGAAGGGGAGCUUGCUCCCCGGAUCAGUGGCGAACGGGUGAGUAACACGUGGGCAACCUGCCCCUCACUCUGGGAUAACUCCGGGAAACCGGGGCUAAUACCGGAUACGACCGGGAGCGACAUCGCUCCUGGUGGAAAGAACUUCGGUGAGGGAGGGGCCCGCGGCCUAUCAGCUAGUUGGUGGGGUAACGGCCCACCAAGGCGACGACGGGUAGCCGGCCUGAGAGGGCGACCGGCCACACUGGGACUGAGACACGGCCCAGACUCCGACGGGAGGCAGCAGUGGGGAAUAUUGCGCAAUGGGCGAAAGCCUGACGCAGCGACGCAGCGUGAGGGACGAAGGCCUUCGGGUUGUAAACCUCUUUCAGCGGGGACGAAGCGAAAGUGACGGUACCCGCAGAAGAAGCACCGGCUAACUACGUGCCAGCCGCCGCCGUAA